GGGUUGUGAGGUUAAGCGACUAAGCGUACACGGUGGAUGCCCUGGCAGUCAGAGGCGAUGAAGGACGUGCUAAUCUGCGAUAAGCGUCGGUAAGGUGAUAUGAACCGUUAUAACCGGCGAUUUCCGAAUGGGGAAACCCAGUGUGAUUCGUCACACUAUCAUUAACUGAAUCCAUAGGUUAAUGAGGCGAACCGGGGGAACUGAAACAUCUAAGUACCCCGAGGAAAAGAAAUCAACCGAGAUUCCCCCAGUAGCGGCGAGCGAACGGGGAGCAGCCCAGAGCCUGAAUCAGUGUGUGUGUUAGUGGAAGCGUCUGGAAAGGCGUGCGAUACAGGGUGACAGCCCCGUACACAAAAAUGCACAUAUUGUGAGCUCGAUGAGUAGGGCGGGACACGUGGUAUCCUGUCUGAAUAUGGGGGGACCAUCCUCCAAGGCUAAAUACUCCUGACUGACCGAUAGUGAACCAGUACCGUGAGGGAAAGGCGAAAAGAACCCCGGCGAGGGGAGUGAAAAAGAACCUGAAACCGUGUACGUACAAGCAGUGGGAGCACGCUUAGGCGUGUGACUGCGUACCUUUUGUAUAAUGGGUCAGCGACUUAUAUUCUGUAGCAAGGUUAACCGAAUAGGGGAGCCGAAGGGAAACCGAGUCUUAACUGGGCGUUAAGUUGCAGGGUAUAGACCCGAAACCCGGUGAUCUAGCCAUGGGCAGGUUGAAGGUUGGGUAACACUAACUGGAGGACCGAACCGACUAAUGUUGAAAAAUUAGCGGAUGACUUGUGGCUGGGGGUGAAAGGCCAAUCAAACCGGGAGAUAGCUGGUUCUCCCCGAAAGCUAUUUAGGUAGCGCCUCGUGAAUUCAUCUCCGGGGGUAGAGCACUGUUUCGGCAAGGGGGUCAUCCCGACUUACCAACCCGAUGCAAACUGCGAAUACCGGAGAAUGUUAUCACGGGAGACACACGGCGGGUGCUAACGUCCGUCGUGAAGAGGGAAACAACCCAGACCGCCAGCUAAGGUCCCAAAGUCAUGGUUAAGUGGGAAACGAUGUGGGAAGGCCCAGACAGCCAGGAUGUUGGCUUAGAAGCAGCCAUCAUUUAAAGAAAGCGUAAUAGCUCACUGGUCGAGUCGGCCUGCGCGGAAGAUGUAACGGGGCUAAACCAUGCACCGAAGCUGCGGCAGCGACACUAUGUGUUGUUGGGUAGGGGAGCGUUCUGUAAGCCUGUGAAGGUGUACUGUGAGGUAUGCUGGAGGUAUCAGAAGUGCGAAUGCUGACAUAAGUAACGAUAAAGCGGGUGAAAAGCCCGCUCGCCGGAAGACCAAGGGUUCCUGUCCAACGUUAAUCGGGGCAGGGUGAGUCGACUCCUAAGGCGAGGCCGAAAGGCGUAGUCGAUGGGAAACAGGUUAAUAUUCCUGUACUUGGUGUUACUGCGAAGGGGGGACGGAGAAGGCUAUGUUGGCCGGGCGACGGUUGUCCCGGUUUAAGCGUGUAGGCUGGUUUUCCAGGCAAAUCCGGAAAACUAAGGCUGAGGCGUGAUGACGAGGCACUACGGUGCUGAAGCAACAAAUGCCCUGCUUCCAGGAAAAGCCUCUAAGCAUCAGGUAACAUCAAAUCGUACCCCAAACCGACACAGG
rnacentral:rRNA from 1 species